rnacentral:tmRNA from 1 species
GGGGAUGACUUGUUUCGACAAGAAUCGCACAUUAAAAACCGCAAGCCGACUUUGAUUCAAAGUCGCUAAACAGAAUCAAAAUAUAAAUGCUAGGGAUUUAUUUUCUAGCGGUCGACAGCUUGCUUACGCUCCGGCGUACGUAAACUAAGACCUGUUCAUAUUGCCUUUCCAAAGCGAGGCGGUAUGAGCAAAAACAAAGCUUUGGGAUGGUAAGGAAGACUGGUUUUUGUCCUUAUUGUAUUUAUAAACCUUGACCCUAUUUAUUCCUGUCGAUUGGAAAAGAAUAGGGCGACACAAAAAAAUCGGCUAAGCUUGUAGAAGUUUUUAUUGUAUUUUCUUGGACUCCGGGUCACUCCGGACAUCUCCACCA